rnacentral:rRNA from 1 species
CGCAUGAGUGGCGGACGGGUGAGUAACGCGUGGGCAACCUGCCCUGUACAGGGGGACAACACUUAGAAAUAGGUGCUAAUACCGCAUAACGGGGGGAGCCGCAUGGCACCCCCUGAAAACUCCGGUGGUACAGGAUGGGCCCGCGUCUGAUUAGCUGGUUGGCAGGGUAACGGCCUACCAAGGCGACGAUCAGUAGCCGGCCUGAGAGGGCGGACGGCCACACUGGGACUGAGACACGGCCCAAACUCCUACGGGAGGCAGCAG